AAUAGUCAAAAUUGCAAAUAUACGAAUACAGUAAAAGGUUAACCGGGUAUUUAAAAUAACCGAGUGGGUAAUCGCGAGCCAUAUUAUAUUUUCUAAGAACACAAAACACGUAUCAGUUGACAGGAUAUGGGGGAUUGCCAAAGCGAGGAGUAGAUAUACGUAUAUAUGUAUAUAUACGUAACCAUUAGACCAGGAUGUAAUAACUGAUAAAUAUUUAAUAAUUAGCAGAAGAGAUGACUCUCUGCAUAACAACACAGAUAAUAAAUUAGCUACCAGAACACUUUAAGAAUGUAGAAAGGUUAUUGUAUAUCAAAUAGCUGUUCAAGUUUUUUAUAGAAGUGGUAAAAUCUGACUAUAUAUACCAGUGUAAAAUCAUCGAUAUUUAACAGUCUUUAAGAUUUCAAUUCAGCACAAGGAGCUAUUUGCACAACAACCACAAUGCCAUAUCAUCGAUCAAUAACUUCUUCGGAUUCAGAGGAUGAACAUUUUAGUGAAACUGUUGAUAAGGAAAUGAGUCCGUCAGUAUCGAAAAUAAAACCUAAUUCAAAACGUAACGCA